AUGUUGCCGGUGUUGCGGUAAAAGAAAGUUGUGCAGGUACAUAUUACCAAAUGUCACUUCAUUAAUUGUCCAGCUCAACAGCUAUUUAUUUAUUUUAGGCAUAAAGUAUUUUUUUGAUGACAGAUUUGUACACUACUUUUCACAACUAAUGUAGAGUAACACAAUGCUUAAAGUGCCAUAUCUUUAUUGUGAAAUAUAUUUAGUUGUAAAUAGAGAGACAAGGAAGUGAUACUCCACAUACAAUUACAUUCUGAAUCAAGAUUCUUAUCACUCAUAAUUUCAUAGAUUCUCUCUAUUUCUCUAAACAGAUUUGGUUCCCACUCCCACUAUUGUAUUUUCCCCUGGGUACAUCAAUAUAGCUACACCUGCUACAGUACGAUGUGAGUCACCAAAAGGCACAGAGUGCAAAUUCUACAAAGAUCAUGACCCCAACCCUAUAAGGAAACUGGAUUACAAGCAGGGUGCUUGCCAGUUCAAGUUGCUCUGGAAUGAGUUCAAAAGGUGGAACAAGACUGAAGUAGAUCUCAGCUGUGUAAUUCUACAGAACAGAGAAGGUGAAACGAUCAAAACCUCAAAACCUAGUGAUGCUCGAAGACUUAAUGUGGGUGAUCCAAUUGGAAAGCCCAUUGUUCAGGUGUUGAAGAUUGGGAAUUACCUCAAUCUUCGAUGUGAGGCCAAGGCUGGCACCUCAUGCUACUUUUAUCUGAACAAUGGUGACUCACACUUUAAAAAACGACCCUACAAAGACAAUGUCUGUGUGGGGAGAGUGGCAGAAGAGGAACUGCAGAGGAAGAGGAGCAGUGCUGGAGAGAUCUUCAUCACCUGUGCUGUGGAGCUGGUGGUAGAGGGUGAAGAUACUGUGACAUCACAGCAUAGUGAACCCCUCGGUAUCACCAUAGAUGGAGCUACUAGUUCCCCAUCAACGUUCAGUUUACCUGUUCAGAAUGAGAAAAGCAACGAUACCACAGCCCAAGGAAGAGGUCCAGGGUUCCUCGUCGUCAUCAGUCUGGGUGCUGGUUCCCUUUUCCUGAUUCUGCUAGCUGGGUCUGUGCUGUGUGUUCUCCAACGCAAGUGUGGGGUUCAAGGCAGGCCUGUAAAUACUGGAAGCCCACCUGAACAGCAAGACCAAACCCCACCUUGUGUCUAUUCUGUCAUCACAAAGCCUUCUAGGGAUGAGGAAGAGGACACUAGUCUGCAAUACGCUACAGUGACAUAUACCGGUGACCAAGCUAGUCGUCAAUAUGCAACAGUGACAUCUACCGGUAACCAAGUUGGACCUGGGCGCACCAAGAUCAAGUUUGAAAUAGCUGGAGAGUACGCCCUCUUAGCAGAAUCAUAGAAGAAGAAACAUUUACUGGAUAACAUGUUUUGCCAUAGUUCACAGUUACAAUCCUAUAUUUUGUUUUCAUAUUGGAUCAUAAUUUACUCAUAGUACAAAAACAAAUCCUGCCACAACAUCAAAGACUAAAGAUAUCUACUCAACUAUUUGCAUUUUAGGUUAAAUGAAAUAAAUGAAAAGUACACUGUCUGAAACAUAAAAUAAAUAUUUUCCUUCAUUGAGUUACCGAAUCUAGUCAGCAGUCACCAAUCAGUAGUCACCAAUCUAUUUCACUCCUUGACAAGAGUCAAUAUAGACUCAAAGCCACAAGAGGGUAGAACACAUGUCAAACUUUGCUUGUUACAUCUCUACAUCUCUCUCUCUACAUCGCUCUCUUUAACCAUGUCUGGUGUAUAUUAGUUUUCAGUGGUGGAAAAAGUACUCAACAAACAUACUUAAGUAAAAGUAAAGAUACCUUCAUAGAAAAUGACUCAAGUAAUAGUAAAAGUCACCCAGUAAAAUUCUACUUGUGUAAAAGUCUAUAAGUAUUUGAUUUAAAAUAUACUUCAGUAUCAAAAGUGAAUGUAUAACUCAUUUCAAAUUCCUUAUCUUAAGCAAACCAGAAUGCACCAUUUUCUUUUUAUUCUUCUUUUUUGCAGAAGGCCAGGGGCACACUCCAUCACUCAGCCAUCAGUUACAAACAAAUCAUGUCAGUUUAGUGAGUCUGCCAGAUCAGAGGCAGUAGGGAUGACAAGGGAUGUUCGGCUGAUAAGUGUGUGAAUUUGACUAUUUUUCUGUCCUGCUAAGCAUUCAAAAUGUAAUGAGUACUUUCGGGUGUCAAGGAAAAUGUAUGGAGUAAAAAUUACAAUGUUUUCUUAAGGAAUGUAGUGAACUAAAAGUAAAAGAAGACACAAAUAUGAAUAUAGUAUAGAUACCCCAAAAACUACUUAAGUAUUACUUUAAAGUAUUGUUACUUAAGUACUUUACACCACUGUUACUUUAAAAAAUAUGUUUUGUUAAUAUCACAGUUUACUUACAGUAUGUGACUUUACUUCCACCUGUUGAUACACUACCUCCAUAUUUCCUCUCUCUGCUUCCUGAUUUUCUGCUACCCUGUAAACCCCACCUCUUCCUGUAGUAUGUCAACAUCUGUUCCUCUCAGACCAAUUGUAAACCCACAUAAUAAUAGCAAUAAUUCAAUAAUAUUUUAAAUACACUUUUUGCAAUUACAAGCAGUUCCUGCCAGUUAGGCCUGUAUAAGCCCAACCUAAUCUGGAAUACCCAGAACAAAAUAUUGCAUGAACAUAACUCUCAUAACCUCUGUGCUCCCGACAGACGUAACAUGUUCGUUACAGAUCUUAGGACAGAUAUGCCCACCCAGAUCAGUCUUAUCUACCCCUGCAAUUGGAGCACAUUACAAACCUAUGACAGCUAUAGGUAUGAUAGUGUAUAUGAAAAUGAUGCAUCAUCACAGAAGGGUCAUAGGUGGGAGCUAUUGUUUCACCAUAAAAGGAGAGAGGGGAGACACAAAAUACAGUGUGUCACUCUCACACUCACUACUGUGGCAUUGCCUGAGUCAUUAUCUACAACCAACAGCUCCUGUGUAUAUUUCUAAAAACAUUUUCCAGAGCAUGUGAAGAUAGUCGCCCCCGAAAGCAUUUCUCAUUUCCAUAUAUCCUGUUUCACUUCUCUCUCUGUAUUAUACAUAAUAACAGGUGGCAGGUUUAAAGAACUCUUAAUUAUGAUCCAAUGAAUGUGCUGCUGGUGCCUUAUGUGUGAGUUAUGUACUAUUAAUAAUAGCAUUAUUGUACUGUCUAAUAAAAUGUUGAAUAAUUGACUUUCAUAACAAUAUCCCUAGUUGUACUUUUGGUUGGAAUAACAAUGAACGACAUUUCUUGUAGUCUCUCUUGAACUACAGUUAACAGAUGCAGGUACGUUUCUCCCCUUCUAUUGCUUGU
rnacentral:lncRNA from 1 species